UGGGGGAAGGGGCUUGUUUCAGCUCUGCCUGGGAGUUGCUUCUGAAUCACUUUCUUGCCUUCUCUGGUACUUGAAUAGUGCAGAUUAAGAUGUAGGAGUCCCAUCCUGUAGCGGGAGCCCAAAGAAACUAAGAUGGACUUGGUUCCAGGCUCUCUCAGGGUGAGUGGUGCUGGUACUGCUGCCCUGAAUUCCACAGCCAUGAAGGCUCCAUCCUGCCCAUUGUGUCUGUUUUGGCUCCACUCCGUAAUCUGGGGUUCUGAGUCUGCCCAGAAUAUUAAGAUCUCUUAGGCUCUUGCUUUUAGUACUUUGAUCUCCUUCAGAAGGGCAAGACUCCUCAAUUCAAGAGAGACAAAUCAUAUCAGAGACUAGAAAUAGUAGGCAGGUUACUUUCCCCUUGCCUGCCUAUUCCUCAUUUACCUACCAAGUGCUGUUCAGUUAGGGUCUCCUCAGAGAAGAAUGGCAGUGCACUGGGGACUACAGCCACCAGCCCAAGGAGGAACUGAUAGCUGAUAGAUCAAGGAUCAGAACAUUCUGGUCUUGGAAGAGAGGGGCUGAUGAGAAUCUAAGCUCAGGCUGGGCUCAUCAGGUUUGGGGACUGAACCCUUGCACUUGGUGUGGCCUGUUUCUUCCAGCCUGUCCACAAUCUGCUGCUUAAUCUUCAUGUCCCUUCCCUGAUGUCUGAUCUCUGCAUUAAAAAAGAGGCAGAUAUGUAAUGGUAAGAACAGACUAAAAAUAUGUUGUCCGGAAAUCUGGUUCAUGUUUAGUAUCAGUAAAACCUUUUGUGUAAAUAGCAUUUUGCAGUUGACAAAGGGCUUUCACAUUCUUUGUCUCAUUUGAUCCUCACAAAACCCCUGAAACAGUUAAUAG
rnacentral:lncRNA from 1 species